rnacentral:rRNA from 1 species
UACGUAGGGUGCAAGCGUUGUCCGGAAUUAUUGGGCGUAAAGAGCUCGUAGGCGGUGUGUCGCGUCGGCCGUGAAAACCUGCAGCUUAACUGUGGGCUUGCGGUCGAUACGGGCAUCACUGGAGUUCGGCAGGGGAGACUGGAAUUCCUGGUGUAGCGGUGAAAUGCGCAGAUAUCAGGAGGAACACCGGUGGCGAAGGCGGGUCUCUGGGCCGAUGAC